UACAGAGGUCUCAAGCGUUGUUCGGAAUCACUGGGCGUAAAGGGUGCGUAGGCCGCACGGUAAGUCAGAGGUGAAAUCCCGGAGCUCAACUUCGGAAUUGCCUCCGAUACUGCCGUGCUUGAGGACUGGAGAGGAGUCUGGAAUUCACAGUGGAGCAGUGAAAUGCGUAGAUAUUGUGAGGAACACUAGUGGCGAAGGCGAGACUCUGGACAGUUACUGACGCUGAGGCACGAAGGCCAGGGGAGCAAACGGG
rnacentral:rRNA from 1 species